rnacentral:misc_RNA from 1 species
AAGUCGUAACAAGGUCUCCGUUGGUGAACCAGCGGAGGGAUCAUUAUCGAGUUAAAUAUAACUCCAACCCAUGUGAACUUACCUUUGUUGCCUCGGUGGGACCUACCCUGUAGCUACCCUAUACCUACCCUGUAGCGUGGAGGGGAGCUACCCGGUAGCGGACCACCGGUGGAUUUUCAAACUCUUGUUAUUUUAGUGUCAUCUGAGCGUCUUAUUUUAAAUAAGUCAAAACUUUCAACAACGGAUCUCUUGGUUCUG